rnacentral:pre_miRNA from 1 species
UUUGGGUCGGGGGUCCCUCAGCCCAGAUUGCGAGAAGGCACAGGCAAGACUGAGGGACCCGACUGGUGCACA